rnacentral:misc_RNA from 1 species
UGAUGUGGCUUGGAUGUGGGGGAUUUUGCGGGCUUCUGAAGUGAAGUCGGCUCUCCUGAAAUGCAUUAGUGGUAUCUGAGCUGCCAUUUGGUGUGAUAAACUUAUCUAUGCCUUUGGUGAUGCUGGGUCAGCACCGCUUCUAACGAGUAUUACUUGACAAAUUUGACCUCAAAUCAGGUAGGACUACCCGCUGAACUUAA